rnacentral:rRNA from 1 species
AGAUUGAACGCUGGCGGCAUGCCUAACACAUGCAAGUCGAACGGGAGUAGCAAUACUCUAGUGGCGGACGGGUGAGGAAUACGUAGGAAUUUGCCCUUAAGUGGGGGAUAACCCGGGGAAACCCGGA